GUGCCAGCAGCCGCGGUAAUACGGAGGGGGCUAGCGUUGUUCAGAAUUACUGGGCGUAAAGCGCACGUAGGCGGAUCAGAAAGUUGGGGGUGAAAUCCCGGGGCUCAACCUCGGAACUGCCUUCAAAACUAUUGGUCUUGAGUUCGAGAGAGGUGAGUGGAAUUCCGAGUGUAGAGGUGAAAUUCGUAGAUAUUCGGAGGAACACCAGUGGCGAAGGCGGCUCACUGGCUCGAUACUGACGCUGAGGUGCGAAAGCGUGGGGAGCAAACAGGAUUAGAU
rnacentral:rRNA from 1 species